GGCUCCUUGAAAUAGGGAUAAUAGGGAGUCGGACCUGCCCAGUGAUUUUUUUAACGGCCGCGGUACUCUGACCGUGCAAAGGUAGCAUAAUCAUUUGCCUUAUAAUUGAAGGCCUGUAUGAAUGGUUUGACAAGAGUGUAGCUGUCUCUUUAUAAUUAAUUAAAAUUUUAUUUAUGGGUGAAGAAGCCCAUAUUAUAAUGAUAGACAAGAAGACCCUAUCGAGCUUAAAAAAAGUUAGUAAACUUUUAGCCACUUAAUACUAAGUAAAAAGCUAAUUACUAAAAAUUUUGGUUGGGGCGACAGAGGAAUCACCAAAGCUUCCUUUAAUAAAAAUAACACACAUGUAGUGAUCCAAAAACUUUGAUUAAAGAAAUUAGUUACCGUAGGGAUAACAGCAUUAUCUUUUUUGAGAGUUCUAAUCGAAAAAAAGGUUUGUGACCUCGAUGUUGGACCAGAAUAUCCUAAAGAUGCAGUCGUCUUUAAGGGUUGGUCUGUUCGACCAUUAAAAUUCU
rnacentral:rRNA from 1 species